GUGGGGAAUCUUGUGCAAUGGGCGAAAGCCUGACGCAGCCAUGUCGCGUGAAUGAUGAAGGUCUUAGGAUUGUAAAAUUCUUUCACCGGGGACGAUAAUGACGGUACCCGGAGAAGAAGCUCCGGCUAACUUCGUGCCAGCAGCCGCGGUAAUACGAAGGGGGCUAGCGUUGCUCGGAAUUACUGGGCGUAAAGGGCGCGUAGGCGGACAGCUUAGUCAGAGGUGAAAGCCCAGGGCUCAACCUUGGAAUUGCCUUUGAUACUGGCUGUCUUGAGUUUGGGAGAGGUGAGUGGAACUCCGAGUGUAGAGGUGAAAUUCGUAGAUAUUCGGAAGAACACCAGUGGCGAAGGCGACUCACUGGCCCAAUACUGACGCUGAGGCGCGAAAGCGUGGGGAGCAAACAGGAUUAGAUACCCGGGUAGUCC
rnacentral:rRNA from 1 species